ACCUCCCAUAGUCAAAAGAAGACUUCUCCGUCCUCGGCCAAACUAUCGGCCUCCAACUCCACGGCGACGUCGCCGACUUCUUUGCUCCACCGCCUCCCUCUUCUGUCUCCCUCCUCCGUCCCUCCCUGCUUAAAAAUGAGUCUCUCCCUACUUUCCUAUAAUAAGGCAGUGACAGAGAUUUCUAGGUUUCCCACAAAUUUGUGACAGUUUGGAGGCAAAGAAAAAGAGGACGAAGAAUAUAACGGAGGAAGUUGGGGAAUUUGUUCUCAAGAUUUCCA
rnacentral:lncRNA from 1 species